rnacentral:tRNA from 1 species
GGAUGGGUGGCCGAGUGGUUGAAGGCGCCGGUCUUGAAAACCGGAAGGCCCGCAAGGGUCUCGGGGGUUCGAAUCCCUCCCCAUCCGCCA